rnacentral:rRNA from 1 species
GACGAACGCUGGCGGCGUGCUUAACACAUGCAAGUCGUACGGUAAGGCCCUUUCGGGGGUACACGAGUGGCGAACGGGUGAGUAACACGUGAGUAACCUGCCCACAACUUUGGGAUAACGCUAGGAAACUGGUGCUAAUACUGGAUAUGUGCUCCUGCUGCAUGGUGGGGGUUGGAAAGCUCCGGCGGUUGUGGAUGGACUCGCGGCCUAUCAGCUUGUUGGUGGGGUAGUGGCCUACCAAGGCGGCGACGGGUAGCCGGCCUGAGAGGGUGACCGGCCAAUGGGGGCUUGGAGUACGCCCCGAACUCCUCGGGGGGGCAGCGGGGGGGAAUUUUGACAAAGGGGGGCAAGCCGGAUGAAGAACCCCCGGGGGGGGGAUGAGGGCCUUGGGGUUGGAAACCGCUUUCAGCGGGGACGAAGUUUUUUGUGACGGAACCUGAAAAAGAAGCACCGGCAACAUCCG